UGGGGAAUCUUGCGCAAUGGGGGAAACCCUGACGCAGCGACGCCGCGUGCGGGGUGAAGGCCUUCGGGUUGUAAACCGCUUUCAGCAGGGACGAGGCCUUAUGGUGACGGUACCUGCAGAAGAAGCUCCGGCUAAAUACGUGCCAGCAGCCGCGGUAAUACGUAUGGAGCAAGCGUUAUCCGGAUUCAUUGGGCGUAAAGCGCUCGUAGGCGGUCUGUUAGGUCGGCAAGUUAAAUCCGGGGGCUCAACCCCCGUCCGCUUCCGAUACCGGCAGACUUGAGUUUGGUAGGGGAAGGUGGAAUUCCUAGUGUAGCGGUGGAAUGCGCAGAUAUUAGGAAGAACACCGGUGGCGAAGGCGGCCUUCUGGGCCAUAACUGACGCUGAGGAGCGAAAGCUAGGGGAGCGAACAGG
rnacentral:rRNA from 1 species